UACGAAGGGGGCUAGCGUUGCUCGGAAUCACUGGGCGUAAAGCGCACGUAGGCGGCUUCUUAAGUCAGGGGUGAAAUCCUGGAGCUCAACUCCAGAACUGCCUUUGAUACUGAGGAUCUUGAGUUCGGGAGAGGUGAGUGGAACUGCGAGUGUAGAGGUGAAAUUCGUAGAUAUUCGCAAGAACACCAGUGGCGAAGGCGGGUCUCUGGACAGUUCCUGACGCUGAGGCACGAAGGUCAGGGGAGCAAACGGG
rnacentral:rRNA from 1 species